rnacentral:rRNA from 1 species
CGUAGGGAGCGAGCGUUGUCCGGAUUUAUUGGGCGUAAAGAGCUCGUAGGCGGUUUGGCAAGUCGGAUGUGAAAGCUCCGGGCUCAACUCGGAGACGCCAUUCGAUACUGCCAUGACUAGAGUCCGGUAGGGGGUGUGGAAUUCCCAGUGUAGCGGUGAAAUGCGCAGAUAUUGGGAGGAACACCAAUGGCGAAGGCAGCACCCUGGGCCGGUACUGACGCUGAGGAGCGAAAGCGUGGGGAGCAAACAGGAUUAGAUACCCUGGUAGUCCACGCCGUAAACGUUGGGCACUAGGUGUGGGUCUCUAUCAACGGGAUCCGUGCCGUAGCUAACGCAUUAAGUGCCCCGCCUGGGGAGUACGGCCGCAAGGCUA